rnacentral:ncRNA from 2 species
CACCGCCCGUCACACCCUGGGAAUUGGUUUCGCCCGAAGCAUCGGACCAAUGAUCACCCAUGACUUCUGUGUACCACUAGUGCCACAAAGGCCUUUGGUGGUCUUAUUGGCGCAUACCACGGUGGGGUCUUCGACUGGGGUGAAGUCGUAACAAGGUAGCCGUAGGGGAACCUGUGGCUG